GAUGAACGCUGGCGGCGUGCCUAAUACAUGCAAGUCGAGCGAACAGACGAGGAGCUUGCUCCUCUGACGUUAGCGGCGGACGGGUGAGUAACACGUGGAUAACCUACCUAUAAGACUGGGAUAACUUCGGGAAACCGGAGCUAAUACCGGAUAAUAUAUAGAACCGCAUGGUUCAAUAGUGAAAGACGGUUUUGCUGUCACUUAUAGAUGGAUCCGCGCCGCAUUAGCUAGUUGGUAAGGUAACGGCUUACCAAGGCGACGAUGCGUAGCCGACCUGAGAGGGUGAUCGGCCACACUGGAACUGAGACACGGUCCAGACUCCUACGGGAGGCAGCAGUAGGGAAUCUUCCGCAAUGGGCGAAAGCCUGACGGAGCAACGCCGCGUGAGUGAUGAAGGUCUUCGGAUCGUAAAACUCUGUUAUUAGGGAAGAACAAAUGUGUAAGUAACUAUGCACGUCUUGACGGUACCUAAUCAGAAAGCCACGGCUAACUACGUG
rnacentral:rRNA from 1 species